rnacentral:lncRNA from 10 species
CCCAAACCCAGUCCUCACCUCCCACAUGCUUUUCAUCACCCGCUCUCACAUCCCAUCUGGGGCCUCUGCUUCCAUCCUACCAUUUCGCAAGCCUGGCCAACUCAAGCUCCGUGUGCUGCACCUAGAGCAGCCCAUCUCUGUGUCAGGGAGGUGAGCUGCUCAGUUGCCAGAGUAUCAACCUGAGCCCAGGACACUGCCAGACUGCUGAGUCAAAGAGGGUUUAGCAGCCCAUUUUCAUAGACAGACAGGUGAGAGGAGGAUGCUGGACAUGGUCCCAGAGACAUGGGGACUCAAGAAACAUGAAGAUCUGUUCACAGCUAAGGGCACAUUUCCAUGCCGAGAAAUCAGGCGUGAGCGCAAGAGUCCUAUCGUCUACCAGAAAAAGAAAUCUUUGGGAGAACUGCAAUCCAAGCAAAUGUGGUGGGUGUGAAGCUUUCAAGAAGUUGGGUCAAGAACAAGGACUGAAAGAGGAGCAUCAAUUUGUAAGUUCAGGAAUGUCUGCUCCAUCUUUGCAGAGACAAGCAAAUAUCAGGGACCACCCAAGUCCAUUCAUUGUGAACUAAGUGAAUCAUGACACAACCACACAAUGGAACACCGUGCAGGAUUAUGAUAUACAGACUGCUGAAGAUCUAGAGUUAUUGAUAUGGAAAGAUGCCCAUGAUGUAUUGUUAGCAAAAAAAAUCAGCCUACAAAACAACAUGCAUAGCAUAAUCCUAUUUAAAAUAUAUCUUUACAUGUGUAUGUAUAUAAGGAAAAGAGUAGAAGGCUAUAUACUGAAAUGUUAAUGACUGUUACCUCUGCUGGCUUUUUUAAUUUUUAUAUAAUUUUAGCGCCUAAAACAAUAUUUUAUGCAGUGAGCUUCUAUGAAUACUAUCAUCAGAAAAAAAAAACCCACCCCAAAACUCUAGAGCUACUUUUAGAUUGACUUUUCAAGAAUAAAGGAUAGGGACCAGGUCUCUACUGUACCAGGCACUGUGGUGGAAGGCAAAAUUUUAAAACUACAUGGUCCCUGCCCUCAGGAGGCUUGAAGUCUGAAUGAGGGGAUAUUGUGUGGAACAACAUGAAAUUUACCAGUAAGUCAUAGAUCUUUAGGAGUAAAAGAAUGAAACAUUAGAUGACAGUGGAUCAUGUUUCCAUGGGUAGACAGACUUAGGAUGGUGGUUGAGUAAAAGAAAAUUGAGGUGCCCAUCCCAGAUUGGUAUAAUAUUGCUCAAGUUGCUCAUGUGCCCUGGGGUUCAGUUUUCCCAUCUGAAAGUAGAGUUAGUAACAGUAGAUGAGGUAAAGCACAUAGCACAGUGCUGCACAGGCUACAUUUAGGAAAUGCCCACCUUUCUGAUUAUUUUAUCAUUCCUACCAAGGGCUUGGAGAAAGCAAGUGUGGGAACAGCUUUAGAUAGAAAAGACUAGCCUUUGUUAUAAUAUUUCUUGAUGCUCAUAGUCAUGUCCCUUUUGAAAAGACACUUCCUCUAGCGUAAGUGUUUAAACAAGUAUUUAAAUUAAAUGGCACUCAUUUUCCCAGGAACAUGCAGAAGUCUGGCCCACACUUCUCCAGCACAAUGCAGUUUUUAUUGUAGUGCUUAAUCUGUUGAUGAAGUCAAUCAAUGGCUUUCCCCGCUUCCUAAGCAAAUGACUUGCUCCACUCCAAUCAAAAGGCACCUUUAAUCUGAUUCCUUUUCACUCAACUCUCCGCCGUGACCCAUAUGCCACUUUAUUCCUCCUUCCCCCUCCUGAAUGUAAUAAGCCUGGUCCAAUUUGCUUGUAUAAACAGAAGGCCGAGGCAGGCGAGGGACGUCACUUGGCCGCAGCGGUUCUGCUUUUUAUACAUUCCUCCUGCCUUGUUUCCUGAGACCUUUCAAUAGAGCCAGACUUGGAGGAGAGUUAUAUUAAACAGUUUGACUCCAAACCUAAACAGCCCCUGAAGCAUUAGUGGUUCAAAGAUCUCCUGGUGCAUUUAUGAAAAGCCAUUGAUCUGGGAAGAGGUGUUAGAGGACUUGAAAUGCACUAAGAAAACUCCUUUACUGGCAGGAGGGAGAGUGGUUUUCAUUAAGGAACUGCCCUUUAUCUCGUCACAUUACUGACCUGCUGGAGCUGAGACGGGCUGCUUCCUUUAGCCUUUAAAGGAAGCUGCCUCUGGUCAGAAACUACGAUAAGAAAGCAUUCAUUUUUAAGACACCCACAAAAGACAGAAGUGUGGCACUGUGGUGGCUUGGUUUUCUGAGUUUAAUCCCCAAAUAUUCUUUAAAUUGUAAACCUUGUGACCACCUCUGAUGCACAGAAGCCUUAAGAAUGCCAGGGGUUAUUUCUCCAAAUGUUUGGUUAUUAGUGAUGGGAAAAAAAAAAAAUCUGUGAAUUAUGUACUUCAGAGCUCAGGGGGACUUGAACUAUCACCUAGAACUGCGUCUACUCUUAACUCAGGGUCAUACAUGUCCCAGAGGACCAUUGGUCAGCUUCAGGGCUGUGUAGGCUCCCACAAAUCCCAUUGUGCGCUUACCAGCUGGGUGAACUGAGAUGAAUUCUCUUGUCUUUGCCACGGUUUUCUCAUCUAGAAACUGGGCAUUGUGACCUCCUAGGAUUCUUGCAAGGAUUAAAUAUAACACAUGUAAAGUGCCUUGUACAGUGCCUGGCACAUAGUUGGCACUUAAUAAAUGCUAUAAUCAUCAUUGCUUGUUAUUACUAUAUUAUUAUUCAGGCAGUCUAACAAUUGUGAGCAAUAUUUUGCAUUUAUUUGCACAUGUCCACUUUCCUAGGAAGAGGUCCAUACAUUUCAUUUUCAUUUCCCCCAAAAGGAGAAGAACCACUAAGCUAGCUAGACUAAUAACUUCUUUAAUUGAUGAGUAAAAUCCUACCCAGAGGUUUAAGUAUUUUUUCGACAAUCACAUGGUAACCUAGAGGCAAGGUGAGAGCUAGAACCCAAAAUGUGUUGAUUCCACUGCUUUCCAAAAUUUUGGCAACACUAGCAAAAGCAGCCCAGGCCUUGCACAAAAGUGACCUAUAAAUAAAUGUAGAAUAGGCCUGGACAUAUAUUGGUGGCUUCAAGGCAAAGGGAGUGUUCAGGGGUCUGGAGGUGUGUGAUGGCUGUGGAGCUGUGAAAACACCACUUGACAUGUAUAAUCAACAGAAGAGGGGGUGUGCAAACCAGAUAGGAGGAGGAAUGGGUGGGGACUCCAGGAAGAAAACACCCCAGUUGCAAAUUCUUCUGCAUUUCCCAUGCAAUAGCAAAGCAAGUUGAUCCCAUAAGCUAUCCGUAAGCUUCACCAAAUCCAAGAGAAUCUAUGCAUAGCUGACUUAGGAAACAGUAGGUAUUUGUUGAAUUCUGAGUGAUUGCACCACUUUCUCCGAGAAGACAUAGCCACAGGACUUUGAGGUUUGCACUCUUUUUGUUAGCCAGAUUCCUUAAAAUACUCUGAUAUUUUCCUAGUUCAUUUGUUCUCAAAGGGUGGCCCUGGGCCAGCACUAUAGCUGUCAUUGGGGGAACUUGUUAGAAAUGCAAAUUUUGGGUCCUCUCCUCGGACCUACUGCAUCAGAGACUGUGGGGUGGGGCCCAGCAAUCUGUUUUAACAGGGUUUCCAGGUAAUUCUGGUGUGCACUCAACUUUGAGAACCACUAAGUUAAUUGGUGUGGCAGAGAAACUAAGCAAGAAAUGAGGGCUUGAAAAAGCCUUCCAGCAACUGAAUCCCUAGAAUACAUUUUUUGUUUGUUUGUUUGAAAUAAACUGGAACUCGAUUAGUAACUUACAUCUUCCUGUGUUUUGCAAACAAGAGAUCUUGGAAGGAAGUAGAAAAUCAAUUUCAAGGCCUUUCAUCUCAGUUACAAUGACACAUUCAUUUUAGCAUUGUGUGGGGAGGGAGGGAAGGAGAGAGCAGGCAGGCAGUGGUUGGGUUUGUGGAGAGGAAUACACAAUUCCAAUGGAAUCCACUGUAAUUUAGGGGCAAUUAGCAUCUGCACAUUCUCCAUUCAUGAGGCUCCAUUAAUCCAGUUAAUCCUCAUCUUCUAAUCAAAAACAAACAUCCUUGAGUGUACUUGAGAUCCUUUUAACACAUUCUCCCCACCUGAAUGCUGUCCUCUGCCUUGUAAUCCAGGGCUUUUAGGAACCACUUCAGCUUUUGGAAAGAGGGGAGCUACCCACCACCUUGGCUGGGUCCUGCCAGCCCCUUGGAAACCUGCCCUCUCCUAGGCUGCACCCUCCCCUGAAACUUGUUCUUUGACUAGACCUGCCCUCUCCCUGCUAUUAUUUAAGUCAUUCUUGAUACUUCUUUGCUAUUCUGGGCAGCCUUCCCUGACGACUUUCUGACUGCCCCUUGGCUAAACACACAAAUGCUUGGAUAAUACUAAUGCCUUGCAUUGCUAAGUCACUUCACUGUUUCCAAAGGCCUUUCCUAGUCCACUUUUCAUUUGAUCCUCCAAACUAUCAUAAUAUCAUUACUAUUUCUCCACUUCCCACCCACUCUCACCCUCCCUCUUCAAUUUACAGAUGGGGGCCACUGAGGCUUUCAGAGAUUUUGUGACCUACCAAACUGGCACAGCUAGUAAAUGGAUGACAAGCCAUUAACAUGGAAAGAAGAAGAGGCAUCCAAAGUGUUGGGUCCGCAUCGCCCUUGCCUUGGAGGAAGCUCCAAAUAGAGGGAAGGAUGGUUUCCAGCAGUCCCUGAAGUGCCUUUCCUCCUUCGUGGGAUCCAGUUACACCCAGCAGACUUCAGUUUGAAUAAACAGAACUAGAUGAAUACACCUAGGGAAUCUGUGAGGCCAGCCUCAGCUUUUAACAUCCAGCUACAGGGAGGUGAGAGAAGCUUCAGCCAGUUGUUUUCUAAGAGCGAGAUAAAGAAACCACCCUCCAAUUAUGCAUCAAAUUCUGCUUCACAGUUGAAUAAGGGGCAUGAAAUCGGAUGUUUUUCAAGCUCAAUAUAAAGCAGUGGAAAACCUACCUCCCCUCUCCCUCCAUAAAGAACAUCUAAACGCACAGCAUUUAAUUUCCGAAUAGGGCAAUGUUCUUUUUAAGGGAAAUGUUAAGCAGGGAUUAGAGACACGAUGGGCUGUGUAACUCUAUCCUCAGCCCUCUCCUUGUUAAUAGUAAUUUUUUUUUGGCGGCGUCUGUGCAGAGAUGUGGGAAAAACCAAAGUCUUAUGUAAAUGAGAAUUGACACAUGCUCGAUAAACCAAACGCCAGACCUGAGAUCUUAAUUACACAGGAGUCUAGAUGUCAAAAUGAAUGCAGCUUAUUGACGUUCAGAGAUUUCACUCGGUAUUAAGUUGGACGACCUUCUUCCGGGACCAGAGAGCAAAGCGCUGGUUUCUCAUUACCCAGGGCCAUCUUCACAAAUGGCAAAGAGCUGUGUUCAUGCCUAGACACUUUUCUAGGUGGAAUAUAUCCCUGAACCACAACACUUAACACCUGCUCAUAGUGGGACAAGCAAAACAAGAUGUUUUCAGGUGUGGGACAAACCACUGCUAAUUGACCAAGGGCUCUUCUGAGCAGAGGUCCCUAACUGCACCCUCUCUCUCCACUCAGCCCCCACCUCCAUCGUGCCUAUUCAUGUAGUCUCAUUCGUGCCUCUAAGGCAUUGCCAGGGGCACUACUUCAACUUCAACAACUAAUACUCCUGUGAGAUACACAAGAGCAUUAGUAGUCACUUUUUAAUGUCAAGAAACAAAGUCCAUAAUUACUAAGCAUUUAUGUUGCUGAAGAUGAGAACACUUGGCAGCUUGGGUAGCUCACAAAGCAGCUCCUGGUAGACUAGGUUUACUGGCCCAUAGCUUUAUUCGUUAGUGGAGACAAUGGCCAUUACCCUAAGCAGCACAGGCUCUGUUUUUAAAGGGAGAGAAAGCUACUUUCAGGCUUGGGCAUAACCAAACAGUGCUCAGUGGGAGUCAGGUUCUUUGCCUUGAAAUAGAAAAAUAAUACACCCUUUCCCUCCACCUCCACUAAUUAAAGUGUCAGGAUGGAGCCCCGACACUGACUUGACACAUGACAUGAUGUCUCGUGUAAUUGGACGUGUUUCACGCUAACAUCAAAGCCUCGUCAAGGAUGAUGGAGCGAGAUGUUUAGUGCAUGCCUGUUGCAGUCUGACAUAUAACUCCAUCCAGCUUCAUUCACAGGCUCUCGCUCACCGGGAGAUUAACCCGCCAGGCUGCUGAGUGAGAGGGGACAGAGUAGGCCCUGACGGGAGGCCUGGGACGCAGGGGAAAUCAAAACAAGUCCACCUGCUUAAGGAGACUGCCGCACUGUGACCUCGUCCUCCGGACAUCUGUGGCAAGUGUUACCGCAGCCACUGAUGUGGCGCACUGGGCCAUUUACAGCUGCCUCAUGAUAUUCUUUUUCACGACUGUGUUUACACUAUUGUUUAACAACUUUGUAUAACAAUCUCUUUUCACUCCAAAUAAACCUUAGUGCCUGGAAGGCCAAGAGUAUCUUCAGUAUGUGUCUAUCCUAGUAAGCUUCUCAAAUGAUACAGAAUUUUUCGUUUUUUUUAAAAAUUUCCAACCUCUCAUGUGCCAAUACUUUUGUAUAAUCAAAAUGAUUAGAAAAAUGAACAUGGACUAGGAUGCCUUAGUAGUGUCAAAUGACUAUAAAUGUGUCUAAAUGCUUAAUGUAAAUUUCUUGUCAUAGACCAGUAACACACAGUUUGCUAACUGGCACGGGUCUGUGGACCUCAUUUGAUUAUCAUUAAACCAGAACAACUAGAAUGCCUGGUACAAUAGGGAGCAAAGAAUAUCUUCUCAAUAUGGAACUGCUGAUUGAAUAUGUGUAUGAAUUAUAACAUAUAUACACAUAUUACAAUGUACACAUAUGGAAUACAUUCACACCAAAUACUGGUAUAUGCACAUACGUUCAAUCAAAUUAUACUUUAUACCAUAACAUAUGUGUAAAUAAGAAGAUGGGGUUUACAAAAGGAAGACCUAUACUUAGGUUUUUAAAAAAGUGCAUUAGGUAACGAGUUGGCACCAUGACGCUCUCUAUGGAAAGGUAUAGGUGGAUGAGGAAGAAUGACUGAGCAGUGCUUCUCCUGUGCUCCAUGCUGUAAUUCUCCAAGCUCUGUGUGGGACUGGUGUUCACACCCAUAUUUACCCAAGAGGCAGUGAAGCUCACUGAGGCUACGCGAUUUGCCAAGGUCACGCUGCUAUUUAGUGAUGGAGAUGGGAUUCAGGUACAGGACUGUCCGGCUCCACAGCCUGCGUUCUAUGGCACCACAUUGUUCAGUGGUGUCACAGGGAGCUAUGCUUUGUUCAUAUGACACACAGUACAAAGAGAAUGGCUGUGUUCCUACCUCCACCUCCAAGCAAAGACCACCAUAAAAUAAUCACAAGGGGCUGGCCUGGGUAGGUUUUGAGUGAGAAGAAGUCCAACUGAUGAACUUCUAGGAAAAGUUUACUCCCUCCUAAGAAAAAAGCAUGGAGAAAAGAUGACCCCCUUCUUCUGCUGGGGAUUGAAACAUCGGGAUAGGAUGGCCAGGACAUCCCUCAGUCAUCUUUUUU